AUCAUCUUCAAUUUAGGAGAUCUUUUUGGGAUAAACUUAUGAUGCUCGAUUGAAGCUGAUAAUAGUAAUACCUUGGUUGGUGUAGAUCGUGGCAUUCGAUGUCAAAAUUGAUUUUGGGAAGGCGAGUGAUGUAUCAUUGUAGGUUUGGGUUUCUUUUUCUUUUUGUCAACUGAACAUUCAUUCACAUAAAAGGAUGACAAGGAUAAGUCCCAUACAAACGUGCAAUCAAAUACAAAGCAAACUGUACAAAAAUACAAGACCAUAAAAAGCUUAGCCCUUUAAAGUAAACCGUAAAAACACCAAAACAUGAAAAGCUUAGCCAAGUGUCGAUUGGGUGACAGAAAAAGUUGAGUGAAAAAUGUAAGAGAUGAGGGACUGAAGGGAAAUCCGCCAUAACUUCAUGAAAUAAACUGAAUUCUCGAAACGACAUCGUUAAUACCACGAUUCCUUUUUUUUACAGCGCAGUAAAAAGUUAUUGACUUUUAACUUACCGCUUCCCGCCAUAUCCAUUAAAUGUUUUUGUUCCUUUUUUUAAAAGAAAAGUUGGGAAAAAUCUAUCACCAGCAACCUACAGUUUCAACGGCAAUGGCUCCCAAAACCCGCGACAAAAACGACGGCAACGCCAUCCAAAACGACAGCAAUGACGGCAGUUCAUCAUACUUCCAAAAAACUGUUUGUUUGCACGAUUGGUGGUUGAUUAAAGCCGAGAAAGAGUUUGAAGGAAAGAGAUUAUCUGUUGCAGGGUCCACAUCAAUAGAGUCAAAAGCGUUUCGGUUAUUUACCUCUGCACCGAUUGUAAAAAGACACGAUGCAUUAACUCUCCAGACAGCUGAUGGGAUUUGUGUUUGCAUCAGAGGUUUCAUCAACAAACAACUAACCAUUGAAAAUGGGUUUUCUUCUGAGGUCUUUACUCAUUUCUUCAUUGGCUUUCCUCCUUACUGGGAAAAAUAUGCUAAAGAGUGUUUGGGGGAAACUAUUAUGGCCGAUGUUGGAUUAGAAGUUGUCCCUAAUUCUAGUAAUGCAGCGAGAGAUUCAGGUCCUAGCUUGAUUUCGACUCCAUGUAAUAAUGCCUUUAACUUGCCCACAAUGGUUGAAGAGAGAACAAACCUCGACAGCAGUCAGCAAAAGGGCGAAGCUUCAACAAUAAAGGUUCAAGAUGAACAAAACCUAAAUAGGAAAACACUGAGCUGCUUAACCUCAAAGUUAAACCAUGUCAAAGAAUCCUCACUUGAGAAGGAGACUCGGAAGAAACUUGAUUUCGAAGAAGUUGUUGAUCAGGUUGUAUUCACAUGUUGGUGUGAAUUCUGCUCCCCGGAUAAAUGUGUUUCCUUUCCCUGUUUACUUUGUCAGUGUGUUUCUAUUUACUUAUUUUUCUCCAAUACAUGUAUGAGUGCUCAUAGUACUAAACUUAAUGAUAGGUUUUUCAGCCAAGAAAACUUAAUGUUGUGUUUGGAAACAUGAAUUGUGGGAUUGAAAUGCUGAAUUAGUUAAGAUUAAAUAUGAUUAGAUAUUUGAAAAGUAUAAAAAGGAAUAUGAAUUUCAAACUCAUUACUAAAUAGGCAUCUAUAAAUCCAUAAAUUUGAAACUUGCAUUUACAUGGGUUUGAUUACUCAAUUACACUAUUUUAAAAUCCAACUUCCCAAACACAAGCUUUGUCUUUUUCUGCCCUUGCUUGAAUCACUGUACUGUUUCUGUUUCUACUUAGGCAAGUUCUGUUUCCAGAGAAAGAAAAGGGAAUAAAUCUAUCAUCUCUCCGGAGUCUCUGAAUUUCAAACGGUCAAGAUCAGGUAGAGUCCUUUUACCUCGAAUGGAAUUUUGGCGCAACCAAAUUCCGGUUUAUGAUCAGGUUUGU